rnacentral:rRNA from 1 species
ACACUCCUGCGGGAGGCAGCAGUAGGGAAUCUUCCACAAUGGGUGCAAACCUGAUGGAGCAAUGCCGCGUGAGUGAAGAAGGUCUUCGGAUCGUAAAGCUCUGUUGUUAGAGAAGAACACGUGCUAGGUAACUACUAGCGCCUUGACGGUAUCUAACCAGAAAGUCACGGCUAACUACGUGCCAGCAGCCGCGGUAAUACGUAGGUGACAAGCGUUGUCCGGAUUUAUUGGGCGGAAAGGGAGCGCAGGCGGUCUGUUUAGUCUAAUGUGAAAGCCCACGGCUUAACCGUGGAACGGCAUUGGAAACUGACAGACUUGAAUGUAGAAGAGGAAAAUGGAAUUCCAAGUGUAGCGGUGGAAUGCGUAGAUAUUUGGAGGAACACCAGUGGCGAAGGCGAUUUUCUGGUCUAACAUUGACGCUGAGGCUCGAAAGCGUGGGGAGCGAACAGGAUUAGAAACCCCAGUAGUCCCAUGAU